rnacentral:misc_RNA from 1 species
AGAAAUUGUUGAAGGGGCAAAAUUCACCCCUCUUUUGUAAAUAGUUUUCUUCUCACCCUUACUUGCUAAUAAAAGAAAAUAGUUACCCAAUUUGGAAAAAAAAAAGCCCUAGUGGAGUAUCUAUGGAAGUGCAGGAGAAAUAAAAAAGAUUCUCUAUUAGUCCACAUUCUAACCUUCCUUAAUACAAAUUCUCAAUUUCCUAAUUGAUAGUGCAGGGGAAAAAAAAGAUUCUGUUGCCUGAUAUUAUUUCAUUGAGUUGUUAUUGGUAAUACAACAAUAGCAUUAUUCCUAGGCAAAAGAUGCUUGCUUAUUCUCCAAUUGCUAAUGAAACUGAAUGAUGAGCUUAGCUUGUCAGCCUUUUGGUCUACCCUUUUCCCACAAUCAGAUGCUACAUCAAGUUGGACUUCACCGCUGAUAUCUUGGUAGUUG